AACGAACGCUGGCGGCAUGCCUAACACAUGCAAGUCGAACGAGACCUUCGGGUCUAGUGGCGCACGGGUGGGUAACGCGUGGGAACCUGCCCUUAGGUUCGGAAUAACUCCCCGAAAGGGGUGCUAAUACCGGAUAAUGUCUUCGGACCAAAGAUUUAUCGCCUUUGGAUGGGCCCGCGUUGGAUUAGCUAGUUGGUAGGGUAAAAGCCAGCCAAGGGGACGAUGCAUAGGUGGUCUGUGAGGAUGGUCAGCCGGACUGGGACUGAGACACGGCCCAGACUCCUACGGAGGGCAGCAGUAGAGAAUAUUGGACGAGGGGCGAAAGCCUGAUCCAGCAAUGCCGCGUGAGUGAUGAAGGCCUUAGGGUUGUAAAGCUCUUUUACCCGGGAUGAUAAUGACAGUACCGGGAGAAUAAGCUCCGGCUAACUCCGUG
rnacentral:rRNA from 1 species